rnacentral:misc_RNA from 1 species
GAUGAAGAACGUAGCGAAAUGCGAUAAGUAAUGUGAAUUGCAGAAUUCAGUGAAUCAUCGAGUCUUUGAACGCACAUUGCGCCCCCUGGUAUUCCGGGGGGCAUGCCUGUCCGAGCGUCAUUGCUGCCCUCAAGCACGGCUUGUGUGUUGGGCCCCGUCCUCCGAUCCCGGGGGACGGGCCCGAAAGGCAGCGGCGGCACCGCGUCCGGUCCUCGAGCGUAUGGGGCUUUGUCACCCGCUCUGUAGGCCCGGCCGGCGCUUGCCGAUCAACCCAAAUUUUUAUCCAGGUUGACCUCGGAUCAGGUAGGGAUACCCGCUGAACUUAAGCAUAUCAAUAAGUGGAGGA